rnacentral:rRNA from 1 species
UACAGAGGGUGCGAGCGUUAAUCGGAAUUACUGGGCGUAAAGCGUGCGUAGACGGUUAUUUAAGUCGGAUGUGAAAGCCCCGGGCUCAACCUGGGAAUUGCAUUCGAGACUGAAUAGCUAGGGUGCGGUAGAGGGAAGCGGAAUUUCCGGUGUAGUGGUGAAAUGCGUAGAUAUCGGAAGGAACAUCAGUGGCGAAAGCGGCUUCCUGGACCAGCACCGACGUUCAGGCACGAAAGCGUGGGGAGCAAACAGG